UGGAGCUCGUUCACCGGCGGGGAUUCACACAUUUCUUUCACCGCAGCGUUGCGGCUCGUUCAUGCGUUGGUACAGCUGUAUAAAUAUUAACAACCGCCUGAUUGCUCCCCAUCAGCAGAUCCUUCUGUGCACUCGAUCGUUAACGUUCGCGCCGCAAUUCAGUGCAGAAAUUCACCUAAGUGAAGUGAAACACAGAACCAUGAACCUAAAUCGAUUGUUCCUGCUAGUUCUGGUGGCCGUUUUGGUGCUUCUCGGACAGCAGCAGUGCGGUGUGGAUGGGGCUCCCAGGUGGAAAUUCGGCAAGAAAUUGGAAAAAAUCGGGAAAAAUGUGUUUAACGCCGCCAAGAAAGCACUGCCAGUCGUUGCCGGGUACAAGGCCUUAGGACGAUGACUAAUGGCUUGAAUGUACCGAGCUCGGGAUAUUAAGAACACAGUAAUUAUUUACUUUAUGUAAUUGUUAAGAAUUGCUUAUCGCUAUCGACUGAUUAAAUAGAAUAUGUUAUGGAUAAAUAUAGCUCGUUAAACAAAUUCAA